rnacentral:rRNA from 1 species
AGAGUUUGAUCCUGGCUCAGAUUGAACGCUGGCGGAAUGCUUUACACAUGCAAGUCGAGCGGCAGCGCGGGGCAACCUGGCGGCGAGCGGCGAACGGGUGAGUAAUGCAUCGGAACGUGUCCAUGUCGUGGGGGAUAGCCCGGCGAAAGCCGGAUUAAUACCGCAUACGCCCGAGAGGGGAAAGUGGGGGACCGCAAGGCCUCACGCGAUUGGGUCGGCCGAUGUCCGAUUAACUAGUUGGCGGGGUAAAGGCCCACCAAGGCGAUGAUCGGUAGCUGGUCUGAGAGGAUGAUCAGCCACACUGGGACUGAGACACGGCCCAGACUCCUACGGGAGGCAGCAGUGGGGAAUUUUGGACAAUGGGGGCAACCCUGAUCCAGCCAUUCCGCGUGAGUGAGAAGGCCUUCGGGUUGUAAAGCUCUUUUGUCCGGACGAAACGGGUCGCGUGAAUAUCGCGGCCUACUGACGGUACCGGAAGAAAUAAGCACCGGCUAACUUCGUGCCAGCAGCCGCGGGUAAUACGUAGGGUGCGAGCGUUGAUCGGAAAUUACUGGGCGUAAAGCGUGCGCAGGCGGUUUUUGUAAACCCAGAUGUGAAAUCCCCCG